rnacentral:rRNA from 1 species
AUGAAAAUCAUAAGCUGGAACUGCCGGGGACUCGGGAACGGCCCGACAGUUCGUUCUCUUCUCGAGUUGGGAAGAGUGGAGGAGCCCGAUAUUUUGUUUUUAUCAGAGACAAGGAUGUCGGAGAAGGAGUUGGAGAAGUUCAGGUGGAAGUUAGGAUUAGCAAACAUGUCGGCUUGGAGUUCAGAAGGAAAGAGUAGGGGUAUAGCCAUGUUCUGGAAGCGCGGGGUAGAUGUCACUCUUAGAUCAUAUGGAAGAAGACAUGUGGAUGUGGAUGUGAAGGGAGAGGACGGC